rnacentral:misc_RNA from 1 species
UUAUUAGGUUAUAAUAAGACUACGUUUGUUACAUUAAUUGUUUGUUAAAAAUGGGCAGACGAUGACUUGGCCAAAGACCUCAUCAUACGUCUUACAGUUCACAGGUGUUAGGAUGUGAUUUAAGCAAGGGCCUUGCCGAAGCGAAGACACCAAGCAUGUUUAAUUCACUAAUGAUCCUUCCGCAGGUUCGCCUACGGAAA